CGGUGGAGCAUGUGGUUUAAUUCGAUGCAACGCGAAGAACCUUACCUACUCUUGACAUCCAGAGAACUUUCCAGAGAUGGAUUGGUGCCUUCGGGAACUCUGAGACAGGUGCUGCAUGGCUGUCGUCAGCUCGUGUUGUGAAAUGUUGGGUUAAGUCCCGCAACGAGCGCAACCCUUAUCCUUUGUUGCCAGCGGUUCGGCCGGGAACUCAAAGGAGACUGCCAGUGAUAAACUGGAGGAAGGUGGGGAUGACGUCAAGUCAUCAUGGCCCUUACGAGUAGGGCUACACACGUGCUACAAUGGCAUAUACAAAGAGAAGCGACCUCGCGAGAGCAAGCGGACCUCAUAAAGUAUGUCGUAGUCCGGAUUGGAGUCUGCAACUCGACUCCAUGAAGUCGGAAUCGCUAGUAAUCGUAGAUCAGAAUGCUACGGUGAAUACGUUCCCGGGCCUUGUACACACCGCCCGUCACACCAUGGGAGUGGGUUGCAAAAGAAGUAGGUAGCUUAACCUUCGGGAGGGCGCUUACCACUUUGUGAUUCAUGACUGGGGUGAAGUCGUAACAAGGUAACCAAGGGCGAAUUCCAG
rnacentral:rRNA from 1 species